rnacentral:rRNA from 2 species
UCAAGUGAAGAAGCGCAUACGGUGGAUGCCUUGGCAGUCAGAGGCGAUGAAAGACGUGGUAGCCUGCGAAAAGCUUCGGGGAGUCGGCAAACAGACUGUGAUCCGGAGAUGUCUGAAUGGGGGAACCCAGCCAUCAUAAGAUGGUUAUCUUGUACUGAAUACAUAGGUGCAAGAGGCGAACCAGGGGAACUGAAACAUCUAAGUACCCUGAGGAAAAGAAAUCAACCGAGAUUCCCUUAGUAGUGGCGAGCGAACGGGGACCAGCCCUUAAGUUGUAUUGAGAUUAGCGGAACGUUCUGGAAAGGACGGCCAUAGUGGGUGAUAGCCCUGUACGCGAAAAUCCCUUUGCAAUGAAAUCGAGUAGGACGGGGCACGAGAAACCUUGUCUGAAUAUGGGGGGACCAUCCUCCAAGGCUAAAUACUACUGACUGACCGAUAGUGAACCAGUACCGUGAGGGAAAGGCGAAAAGAACCGCGGAGAGCGGAGUGAAAUAGAUCCUGAAACCGUAUGCGUACAAGCAGUGGGAGCCCACUUUGUUGGGUGACUGCGUACCUUUUGUAUAAUGGGUCAGCGACUUAUUUUCAGUGGCGAGCUUAACCGAAUAGGGGAGGCGUAGCGAAAGCGAGUCUUAAUAGGGCGUCUAGUCGCUGGGAAUAGACCCGAAACCGGGCGAUCUAUCCAUGGGCAGGUUGAAGGUUGGGUAACACUAACUGGAGGACCGAACCGACUACCGUUGAAAAGUUAGCGGAUGACCUGUGGAUCGGAGUGAAAGGCUAAUCAAGCUCGGAGAUAGCUGGUUCUCCUCGAAAGCUAUUUAGGUAGCGCCUCAUGUAUCACUGUAGGGGGUAGAGCACUGUUUCGGCUAGGGGGUCAUCCCGACUUACCAAACCGAUGCAAACUCCGAAUACCUACAAGUGCCGAGCAUGGGAGACACACGGCGGGUGCUAACGUCCGUCGUGAAAAGGGAAACAACCCAGACCGUCAGCUAAGGUCCCAAAGUCAUGGUUAAGUGGGAAACGAUGUGGGAAGGCUUAGACAGCUAGGAGGUUGGCUUAGAAGCAGCCACCCUUUAAAGAAAGCGUAAUAGCUCACUAGUCGAGUCGGCCUGCGCGGAAGAUGUAACGGGGCUCAAACCAUGCACCGAAGCUACGGGUAUCAUCUUUUGAUGAUGCGGUAGAGGAGCGUUCUGUAAGCCUGUGAAGGUGAGUUGAGAAGCUUGCUGGAGGUAUCAGAAGUGCGAAUGCUGACAUGAGUAACGACAAUGGGUGUGAAAAACACCCACGCCGAAAGACCAAGGUUUCCUGCGCAACGUUAAUCGACGCAGGGUUAGUCGGUCCCUAAGGCGAGGCUGAAAAGCGUAGUCGAUGGAAAACAGGUUAAUAUUCCUGUACUUCUGGUUAUUGCGAUGGAGGGACGGAGAAGGCUAGGCCAGCCUGGCGUUGGUUGUCCAGGUUUAAGGUGGUAGGCUGAGAUCUUAGGUAAAUCCGGGAUCUCAAGGCCGAGAGCUGAUGACGAGUGUUCUUUAGAACACGAAGUGGUUGAUGCCAUGCUUCCAAGAAAAGCUUCUAAGCUUCAGGUAACCAGGAACCGUACCCCAAACCGACACAGGUGGUUGGGUAGAGAAUACCAAGGCGCUUGAGAGAACUCGGGUGAAGGAACUAGGCAAAAUGGCACCGUAACUUCGGGAGAAGGUGCGCCGGUGAGGGUGAAGCAUUUACUGCGUAAGCCCACGCCGGUCGAAGAUACCAGGCCGCUGCGACUGUUUAUUAAAAACACAGCACUCUGCAAACACGAAAGUGGACGUAUAGGGUGUGACGCCUGCCCGGUGCCGGAAGGUUAAUUGAUGGGGUUAGCGCAAGCGAAGCUCUUGAUCGAAGCCCCGGUAAACGGCGGCCGUAACUAUAACGGUCCUAAGGUAGCGAAAUUCCUUGUCGGGUAAGUUCCGACCUGCACGAAUGGCGUAACGAUGGCGGCGCUGUCUCCACCCGAGACUCAGUGAAAUUGAAAUCGCUGUGAAGAUGCAGUGUAUCCGCGGCUAGACGGAAAGACCCCGUGAACCUUUACUAUAGCUUUGCACUGGACUUUGAAUUUGCUUGUGUAGGAUAGGUGGGAGGCUUUGAAGCGUGGACGCCAGUCUGCGUGGAGCCAACCUUGAAAUACCACCCUGGCAACUUUGAGGUUCUAACUCAGGUCCGUUAUCCGGAUCGAGGACAGUGUAUGGUGGGUAGUUUGACUGGGGCGGUCUCCUCCUAAAGAGUAACGGAGGAGUACGAAGGUGCGCUCAGACCGGUCGGAAAUCGGUCGUAGAGUAUAAAGGCAAAAGCGCGCUUGACUGCGAGACAGACACGUCGAGCAGGUACGAAAGUAGGUCUUAGUGAUCCGGUGGUUCUGUAUGGAAGGGCCAUCGCUCAACGGAUAAAAGGUACUCCGGGGAUAACAGGCUGAUACCGCCCAAGAGUUCAUAUCGACGGCGGUGUUUGGCACCUCGAUGUCGGCUCAUCACAUCCUGGGGCUGAAGCCGGUCCCAAGGGUAUGGCUGUUCGCCAUUUAAAGUGGUACGCGAGCUGGGUUUAGAACGUCGUGAGACAGUUCGGUCCCUAUCUGCCGUGGACGUUUGAGAUUUGAGAGGGGCUGCUCCUAGUACGAGAGGACCGGAGUGGACGAACCUCUGGUGUUCCGGUUGUCACGCCAGUGGCAUUGCCGGGUAGCUAUGUUCGGAAAAGAUAACCGCUGAAAGCAUCUAAGCGGGAAACUUGCCUCAAGAUGAGAUCUCACUGGAACCUUGAGUUCCCUAAAGGGCCGUCGAAGACUACGACGUUGAUAGGUUGGGUGUGUAAGCGCUGUGAGGCGUUGAGCUAACCAAUACUAAUUGCCCGUGAGGCUUGACCAU